GUCAUUAACAAAGACUGUUUAUUAAAUCUUGAAACAUAGAUUAGUGUUUAAAAAUUAACAAAAUGGGGGUCUCAUGUUUUCUUAAAUAAAUGUAUAUCAACAAGGUACAAGAGGACUUAAUUUGGGGAUCAUUUCGGCCCUUUCAAGAUGAAUUCAGACAGUUCAAGGACAAAUGUGUGCAAUUUAAAGACUGAGCUCUUCAAAAUAAAAGACAACACUCAACUUUCUGACCUUCUCCUGAACUUUGGCAUUUGUUUAUCCAAGCAAUCAAUCGGCUCUUAAGUAUUUCGAGUUCCACUUCAGUAAUUCAUAAAUGCUUUUGAUUACUGUGGUGAUUAUUUAAGGACAAGAAAAUAAAAUGCCCAAAAAAAGAAAAUUAAAUAGGUAUUAAGUACUUUUGAACAGUGGAUUCACAUGCUGUCAGAUCUAAUGCAUGUCAAGUCAUGCAUUUUCCAGCUGUUUAAAGUCUCAGAGCAGAGCUAACUCUGUCCUGAAAACUGUGUUCUUACAAAGAAGAUAAUGAGCACCAAUUGGGAAUAC
rnacentral:lncRNA from 1 species